rnacentral:rRNA from 1 species
GAUGAACGCUAGCGGCAGGCUUAACACAUGCAAGUCGAGGGGUAGUGUUGGUGCUUGCACUGACAUGAGACCGGCGCACGGGUGCGUAACGCGUAUACAAUCUACCUUAAUCAAAGGGAUAGCCCAGAGAAAUUUGGAUUAAUACCUUAUGAGUUUAAUAGUUGGCAUCAAUUAAUGAACAAAGAUUUAUCGGAUUAAGAUGAGUAUGCGUCCCAUUAGCUAGUUGGUAUGGUAACGGCAUACCAAGGCGAUGAUGGGUAGGGGUCCUGAGAGGGAGAUCCCCCACACUGGUACUGAGACACGGACCAGACUCCUACGGGAGGCAGCAGUGAGGAAUAUUGGUCAAUGGAGGCAACUCUGAACCAGCCAUGCCGCGUGUAGGAAGACGGCCUUAUGGGUUGUAAACUACUUUUAUACAGGAAGAAACCUACCCUUGCGAGGGUAAUUGACGGUACUGUAAGAAUAAGGACCGGCUAACUCCGUGCCAGCAGCCGCGGUAAUACGGAGGGUCCGAGCGUUAUCCGGAAUCAUUGGGUUUAAAGGGUCCGUAGGCGGUUAGAUAAGUCAGUGGUGAAAGUUUUCGGCUCAACCGGAAAAAUGCCAUUGAUACUGUUUAACUUGAAUUAGUGUGAAGUAAUUAGAAUAAGUAGUGUAGCGGUGAAAUGCAUAGAUAUUACUUAGAAUACCGAUUGCGAAGGCAGGUUACUAACACUAUAUUGACGCUGAGGGACGAAAGCGUGGGGAGCGAACAGG